CAGCCUUAUCAGGUUGAAACACCGGUUCCCGUACGAUCACCGACGUUAAGCAAGGUCGAGCCUGGUCAGUUCCUAGAUGGGUGACCGCUUGAGAAUACCAGG